UCUCAAAACUAAAACAAGGUGAUCUCACCUUAUCUCAGAAGCUAAGCAGGGCUGGGCCCGGUUAGUACUGGAGACACCCAGGAAGUAUUAGGUGCUGUAGGCU
rnacentral:rRNA from 14 species